GGCGAGGUGGCCGAGUGGUUAAGGCGACAGACUAGAAGUACUGUUCCUGUGACUGCUUCAGCCAUCUGUUGGGUUCGCCCGCGUAGGUUCAAAUCCUGCCCUCGUCG